rnacentral:rRNA from 1 species
AAUCAACGCUGGCGGCAUGCCUAACACAUGCAAGUCGAACGGGAUCCUAGCUUGCUAGGUGAGAGUGGCGGACGGGUGAGUAACACGUGGGAAUCUGCCUUUUGGUUCGGGAUAACCGCGGGAAACUGCGGCUAAUACCGAAUGCCCUCGCGAGAGGAAAGAUUUAUCGCCAGAAGAGGAGCCCGCGUCCGAUUAGGUAGUUGGUGGGGUAAAGGCCUACCAAGCCGACGAUCGGUAGCUGGUCUGAGAGGAUGAUCAGCCACACUGGGACUGAGAUACGGCCCAGACUCCUACGGGAGGCAGCAGUGGGGAAUAUUGGACAAUGGGGGCGAACCCUGAUCCAGCAAUGCCGCGUGAGUGAUGAAGGCCUUAGGGUUGUAAAGCUCUUUUGCCAGGGAAGAUGAUGACUGUACCUGGAGAAUAAGCCCCGGCUAACUUCGUGCCAGCAGCCGCGGUAAGUCGUGUGACA